rnacentral:rRNA from 1 species
UACGUAGGGGGCGAGCGUUGUCCGGAUUUAUUGGGCGUAAAGGGUUCGCAGGUGGCCUUUUAAGUCAGAUGUGGAAGAUCACAGCUCAACUGUGGUAAGCAUUUGAAACUGAAAGGCUUGAGUUAAGGAGAGGAAAGUGGAAUUCCUAGUGUAGCGGUGAAAUGCGUAGAUAUUAGGAGGAAUACCAGUGGCGAAGGCGACUUUCUGGACUUAUACUGACACUGAGGAACGAAAGCGUGGGGAGCAAACAGGAUUAGAUACCCGCGUAGUCCCUGA